GGGCAUUUUAAUUGAUUUGGGCCUAUAAGCAAAAUCCUUAAGCCCAUAUUAUUUGGUCCAAAAAUCAAGUUUACUACUCAACACUCUAGGUACAUGUGCAAAUGGUGUUUACCAUUUUACUGUCUUUCUCUCCCUCUCCUUUUUUUUAUUUUUUCUGUAGUCGAUGAACUAAACCGACCAACCGAACCCGACCGAACUUGAUUCGGUUGUGUUUGGCUGGGUUUAAAUACGG
rnacentral:lncRNA from 1 species